rnacentral:lncRNA from 1 species
CUCUCGUAUAAUAAUUCCAUUCUAAAGAAUACAAUGACUCAUUUGAGAAAGAAAUAAUUUUUACGAAUACCAAAGCAAACUUCUCCCAUAAGCGAUUAUCCCGUUGAGUCACGAACUCAAAUAGCAACUCAAGAAGAAAUAUACCAACAGCAAUUCCCUCCUUCUUUUUUUCAUUUGAUGGUACGACCUCCCUGAUAAAAGACCUUGGCCUUAUAGGAAGUCGAGAGGUUGUCCGACAGGACGAAAAGGCAAAAGGCGGUGGAUCAACCAGGAAGAAAAAGAUCGGCACAGGACCAGGAAGAGAAAAGAGAUGAGCCUUGGCCGAUCCACGACUUUUGACUUUGCUUGAACCCACCUGGCAACCGGAUAUGGAGAUUCUCACCGAAUACAUCCGUCUCUGGAGCGAAAUAUGGAAAUAAGCACGCGGCAGUGACAAAUUGUUUGUCGCCAGAGCGACAAGAUGAGGCAACCUUAAUCAAAACAGAUGCGCAUGCAAGACGAAUUUCAAAGAUAACGCAACCAGGAUGUAUCGCUUCGGGCUAUAAACAGGACAUGUGCUACUAGAAAAGACAACAAAAGAGUAUUCAGUGAGCUUUAUUAAUUUGUUGCUUACAUCUGUAAACGUGUUCAUUGUUUAUUGCAUAAAUAUGAUAAAAUAUGAUAAAAAGUCAUUUUUUAAUUUAUAUUGUUUUUUGUGUACUAAACUAUUAUACGUAAUCAUAAAAGACAAAAUCAAUUAAAUUUUUAUUCUUUUUUGUAACUUUUAUUUUACUUCUUUGUAAGUAUUCAAAGAGUAAUUUUUUAUAAUCAUUUAAUUAUAGUAACCAAUUUAAUCUUAAGAGCAAUUAAGUAUUCUAAGUAGUGAUAACUAGGGGUUGAAUUUAUAGUAAAUGAGAAUUCAAGUAUAAUAUUAUGUUUCGUAAAAAUGUGAAUUAAUAAAAAAUUAUGAAAUCUAUAUCACGUUAUUUUGAUAAUAAUUUAUUUUAUCAUAGUUCAUUGAAGCUAUUUUGCUGUGAUCUAUGAUGAGACACUGCCUCAAUGUUUCAUUGCUUCAUUGACCGACGAAACGGAAGAGAUCGCUGACAGAUCAUUAGAUCUGGAUCGAGGACUUUUGUUCUACAUCUGUCGGGCGAAACCGAGACAUAGCGUUUGUUUGAAGAAUUGGCAACUUGUAUCCCUAUUGGUGCUGAGCUCGAGUUAUAUUUAAAUUUAUAUUUGUUAAAAGUUGAUGUUCAUAUUACACAAUAUAGAAAUUGUAUAUUGUUGCUAUUUUAUAUCCCUGUUUAAAUCCUUAAAUUACACAGUAGAGCAAAAAUUAAAUUAUUCAUUUAAAUCAAAGAGCUUCCGUUGCUGAAAUGUUACUUUUUACAAAUUCUUUGUAACUUUUGAAGAGAAGGGGUUCAUAAACGUUAUUACUAUAAUAGAUUCAUGUUAACAUCAUCAUUAUUAAAUGGAAUAUUAAUGUAAUGCUGUAAUAUUGUAAUAUUACUAUUCUGGCGCGUGCGCUUUCAUGAAGAGAACUGUAUUUCAAGAUCGAAAGUUUAUUCGGUGCGCAGUUUGAUAAACAUGUUGCUUAAAAAUGUAUAUAAAAUCACACAAGAAAUAUUAAGCACUAAGAUUCAGUUAUGAUCAAGAGGGUCAUCUUUAAUUAGUCGUGUUUUCACAUUUAAAUUAAUUAAUAUUUAUUAAAAUAAUUUUUAGUAAUGUUUCAUUCUUUCUCUAUUAACAACUAUCUCUUGGAUUAACAAUGAUCUCUCUAUUAACAACUCUUGGACAAAAUGUUGCGUAUAGAUUUAGAUCUUGACGCAUGAUCCAAACCAUCCUAAUGGAAAGCAGCUAUUUACAGUCGUACGAUUACAAUACACGCAGCACGCUGUGUGUCGUGGAAUAUUUUAUAACGUUGAUAUUGUCACGUUAAACACGAACGCUCACGUUUCAAGCUGUUCUAAGCGGUUAUUAUGCCGCUUGUUUGAUUAAUCGCUAUUCAAUUGAGUGUUAACGAUUAUAAUUAAUAUAAAUUAUUUAAAGUGUAAUUUGAAAUAAAGAAAAUAUUCUUAUCGCUUUUUCGACGUAAAGGAGUUAUAAAUUAAAUAAGUUUUUAAUAAACUUCUUUUAAAUUAAAAUAUUUUUUAAAUACCAAUGUGAUUUGAGUUCUGUAAAUGUCAUUUAGAUUCGACAGUUGAACCUAUUUUUAAAGAAAAGGGUUUAGAUUAGUUUUAUAUGUAAAUUUACCGAACAAAGUGGCAGAAUAAUAUAAAUUAAUAUGUCAAGGAACUAGAUUUGAGAUUUUCGGAAAAAGGUCAUGUAGAAUAUCUGUGCAGAUUAGGUACAUUAACACACACACAUAUACACAUACAUACACACAACAUGGACCGCAAGAUCUGCGAUUUUACGUAUUUUACAAUUUUUAAGAUUAAAUAUUAAUAAUAAAUUGUUGGCAUCACAUAUAUUGUUUGUAGGCAUUAGAAAGUUUGUAAUUUAGAUUUUUAUAAUCCAGUUUUGGGUUUAUAUGCUCAAUAAUUACUAAAAGAAAAGUUUAUACUUCCGGUGAAAAUUUGAACAAUUCCCAUAUGAAUUGUACUAAACUUUCUAAACUUUGAGAGACAUUUUCUGGCAUAUAUGUACGGUAAGCUUAUUUCAUAUUUCACGAGAAUGUAUAUUGACUGUAAUAAUAAUUCCUGUAAGUAGAAACUAAAUCUGCAAGAUUUGUUAUGUGCAUAAACCAUCUUAAGAUAAGCAAAAAUAAGCGUCUAAAAUAAACUCUAAAAUUGUUACGGCAAACAAUAGCGUUUAAGGUUUUUUUGGUUAACAUAAAUCAUCACUAAAAUACUUACAAAUUAAUAAUAUGUAAUAAAAAAUUUUUACUUUUAAACGUUUUAUAUUAAUUUAUAUAAAUAUAUUAUGCAAGGUACGACUUAUAUAAAACAUGAUAUUAUAUAAAUAUUAGAUUAAGUUACUAACUUAAUAGGUAAAUCUUAUAUAAUAUAAUACAUUACUUUUAUUUUAUUUUAUAUAUACUUUUUUGCUAUUUUAUAAUUUAUCUUGAUAUAUAAGUGAGCUAGUUUAUGUCGCUUUCCGAUUUUAUGUUUAAACACAUUAUAAAUAUUACUCUUUUAUUUAAAAAGAAUUUGUUUUUAAUUAAUUAAUUAAUUUUAUACAUACGAGAAGAAUAAUUUUGUAUUUUAAAGUAUAUCUUUAAAUAUUAAAAAAUUCAGGUUGUGUAUGUGUGCUGUGUGAAAAUAUAGAUCUAAAAAUAAUUUUAUUGAAUAUAACUAAACUAAUUAUGGAAAAGUGUUCAAAUACGCGAUGAGAAAUGCUGCAAGAAGUUUUGACAUUUUAGCUACAGUUUGAGCAUCCGACAUAAUUAUUUUGUCUACAAACAAUCUACAAACAAAAAGUAUUUGUAAAUCUAUACAUUUAAUUAAAUUUGUAUACAUUUUAGCAAAAAUUUUUUUCUCUAUAGAAAACUAUGAAUAUAUCAAUAAUGAGUUUCUUGCUUCUUUAAUUAUCCAAAUAGAUGUUAAUAUUAAUAAAGUGCAACGUUUAAUUUCUGAGAUGUUCUGAGGGUGGAAACACUUUAAGAAACUGAUGUCGAUAUUGGCGACUUACCUCCAUAUUAUUAUUUAUAAUAAUAUAUAAUUCAACAAUAAGUAAUAAAUUGUUAUUGAUACAACUGAUACACUUUUUAUUAUAAAUCAAAUUGUAUAAUCCAUAAUAAAUUAAUCUGUUUUUAAUCAAAUCUAAUUCCACGCAUUACUCAUUCACGCUUGUUUUUACUAUCGCUCGAAUAAACGAUUAAUCAAUUUUUUUUUUCACAUUUCUAGUAUUGGAAGCCAAGUAUCCCGAAAUCAUCGAACUUUCGAUACGCGCAGUUUGACGAAUGAUUGUAUAUCCGCACCUACGCCACUGCCGGUAUACACGUAGCUGCAGGUCUCGUAGCCCGCGCGUCUCACGAAUCACUUUCGAAGGUAUAUACGAGCGAGCGGCGAUGAAUGGACCGGAACAGGUUUUGAAUCUUAUGCAAUGAUAAAUGAGUGACCCCUACGGCAUCGGCUUCACCUGCACACCUGGAUGAGGGAGACUCGAACGCGGAUGGGCCCACGUGGUCGUUUGUGUGCGUGACGCUGCAUCACUGAAUGAAUCACGCCAACGAACGAAACGCACCAUCCCGACUGUGUGUUCGCGAUAAUUAUAAAUCCGUAAUUAAUAAUCGGCGCGUCAACCGUAAACCGGCUCGUGUCGGUGCUCUCGCAGGAUUUCACCUUAUGCUGUUUCAUCCGCGGUGUUCCUGUUUCGUCAUAGAGUUAAUUAUUUUCACAUUAUUUUCACAUACGGCAAUCAUUUCGAGCGCGUGUUUAAUGAUCAAUAUUUGACGAAGAGAUCUUUUACUAAUUGUACAAAAUAAUUUUGACCUUUCUUUAGUUUUACCAAAAAUUAGAUUAAUUAUAAGCGAAUGUCAAAGUAAAGGAGAUUAUAUUGCGUAAAUAUAAUUAACAUUUGCGAAAGUAAAUCUUAAAAAAAAAAACAUGUAUACAUUAUUAGCAAAUAUUUCAAUUACUAUUACUCAUUAAUGUUUUAAAUAAGUUUUUCGCGCUUAUUCGCAAUUAUAUUAAGUUAAGGAACAUAUACAUGUUUGAUUAUAAUUGGCUGAUCCAACGAUCUACAAUCGUACAGCGAUCACGUAAUUCGUUAAAAUGAGGUCACUUCGUUCUCGAUACCGAAUUUCACAAAAUUUUUCCGUCGUUGCUAACUGUCAAUACGCUCUUCAGACGAUAUAUUUUUAUUUUCAUUCUCGUCGCUGGUUCUUUUUCCCCCGUACUAUCGCGCACAUGACGGGUUUCGCAUUUCACGAAAACACGUGCGUCUGUCGCAUGGCAUUUACAAAAAAGUAUAUAUGGGACGAGAGAAAGAGAGGGGAAAAAAAAAGGAAAUAGUACUUCAAAAGAACGAUUGGGACAGACGUGCAAGAGAAAGAGCGAAAACUCGUCUGCGAGGCCGUUAAUUUUUCAUAUUGCCGUGUAACGGAGCAGCUAAUAGCGGCUUUCGUUCCUUUCGCUCCCCGACUUUCUUCUUUUCCGUUUCAACGACCGAUCGCUUAAGUUGAAAGGUGAAUUAUUCAUGCGACGAAUUAUUAGACGCUUUAUAUCGGCGCGUGACAUUGGAUCUGAAUACAAUUUGCAACAGAAUAGUACAAUCAUAUCAGUGGCAAAAUUUCACAUUGUGCCAUUCGAGAGGGGUGAUUUCGGGUAGACGAGAUGCCCGGGUGGUUUCAUGCAGUCUUAGUGUUCAUGCCCUUCAUACCUUCGUGGAUUAUUGCAGCAACGCUAACCACGAAUGUUCCGUUGCUGAUAUUCCGGUUGAAAUGUUCCCAUCAAAACAUCAUUGUAAUCUUAUCUUCAGUCAUAUAUUCACGUACCAUAAAUGCGGUAUUAAUUAGUAAAUGUCUCAUUAUAAUUAUAUUCUCCAUAAAAAGACAAUUUAUGUUGCGUAUCAGCCGAAAUUUUAUACCGCAAUCUUAAAACGGUGUUAAAAUUUCAAAAGAGAAUGGUAUUUUUUAAAAAUUCUAAACUUUUAAAUAUAAUUAAAAAAUUUUUAAUUUAAAAAUCAAUAUGAUGUGGCAGUUAAUACAAUGUUUUUCUGAGAGUUUCAAGAAGUGCACUAAGAGAAAAAAGUAGUUGCAUAAUUAAAUUAUAAUUUCUAGUAAUUUUUAAUAAUACAUUUAAAAUUGUUUUUAACGUUACUACGUAAAUAAUAAGCCAAUAUUUUAAAAAGAAUUGUAUUUAUUAUAAUUGUGAGACUGCAUUUAUCAUAUAAAAAUAUUUAUUUUACUUUUUAAAAAAGAAUUAAAAUUUUAAAAACCUAAUUUGUGAUAUUGUGGUAUCUGUCGUGUAUCGAUAUGCGCAAAAAUAAUUCUAGACCAACACUGGUAGUUACCACGAUCGAUAGUAAAAACUGGAUUGAUGGAUUAACGGAGCAUACGUGUUGCGGCAUCACUGCAGGUUACGGACGAAGCAGCCAUAAUUUUCAGGCCGGUAAAUGGGACUCGCGAGGCCAAACUUCCUUCCGUUUCGUACGCCGGGCGGCGUCGUAACGAACGAUCGGCGAUCGAGAGCUGUUCCGGGGUUAAACUUUCUUUCUCUCCUCGCUAACUCCAUCCCGCACGGUCGGUCGCCCCUGUCCUUUUUUCGCCCGCCUUAAUUACAUGUUAAUGUCAGGAUUAUCAGCGUAGCCAAGCGACACGAAGUGGGAAAGUUCGUGCGGCAGGUUAAGCGUUUCUGAAGUAGUUAAACAUUUUUCUAAUCGACCUUAAUAGAGUUCUUGCCAAUCCUUUUAACUACCGCGACCCUCCCUGGAAUCCGCUAUAUUCGCAUAAGGAGCGUCUCAUAAUUGCCUCUUUAUUUCCUCAUCAGCCGACCGCAUGACCGAACUCACUAUCCGCAAAAAGUCGCUUCUCAACAUUUAUUACAAACGCUAAGCGCCACUUAUGUCUUUGCAUGCGUGGCUAAGAAGAAUUGCAUUAUUUUAAUCCUUAACUUUCCUAACGGUAGAUAUAUUUUCCUGCCCACGCGUACUUUUUCUGCCGCGAAACAAAUUCCCUUUCAUGUUAGUAACAUGGUGGUUCAUCGUAUAUACGUAUACUAUAUCGCGAUAUGUAUAUUAUAGUUUAAACGAGAUGUCACGAGCAAAAAGCCCAGGAAACCUUGGAAGUAAAUUACAUCCUCGUUGAAGUAAAUUAAAAACUAAAGUAAAAAAAUGCAAAGUAUGGGAAGCUAUGGACCAGGUUAAACAUAUUUUCUAAAGCUUACAUUUGCAAUACAUGCGAAAUAGAUUAUAAUAACAUCUUGUAAUAAGAUAUUCUAUUGCAAAAAUAACACAAUAAAAUACAAAUUAUCCAAAAUAAUGGCA